rnacentral:rRNA from 1 species
AGGAUUCCCCUAGUAACUGCGAGUGAAGCGGGAAAAGCUCAAAUUUAAAAUCUGGCAGUCUUCGGCUGUCCGAGUUGUAAUCUAGAGAAGUGUUAUCCGCGCUGGACCGUGUACAAGUCUCCUGGAAUGGAGCGUCAUAGAGGGUGAGAAUCCCGUCUUUGACACGGACUGCCAGGGCUUUGCGAUGCGCUCUCAAAGAGUCGAGUUGUUUGGGAAUGCAGCUCAAAAUGGGUGGUAAAUUCCAUCUAAAGCUAAAUAUUGGCGAGAGACCGAUAGCGAACAAGUACCGUGAGGGAAAGAUGAAAAGAACUUUGGAAAGAGAGUUAAACAGUACGUGAAAUUGCUGAAAGGGAAACGCUUGAAGUCAGUCGCGUUGGCCAGGACUCAAUCUAGCCAUUGGUUGGAUGUAUUUUCUGGUCGACGGGUCAGCAUCAAUUUUGACCAUUGGAUAAAGGUAUGGGUAAUGUGACAUUUCUUCGGAGAUGUGUUAUAGACUCAUGCUGCAUACAAUGGUUGGGAUUGAGGAAUUCAGCACGCCGCAAGGCCGGGAUUUAUCCACGUUCGUGCUUAGGAUGCUGGCAUAAUGGCUUUAAUCGACCCGUCUUGAAACACGGACCAAGGAGUCUAACAUGCCUGCGAGUAUUUGGGUGGAAAACCCAUGUGCGCAAUGAAAGUGAAAGUUGAGAUCCUUGUCAUGGGGAGCAUCGACGCCCGGACUUGACGUUUUCUGACGGUUCCGCGGUAGAGCAUGUAUGUUGGGACCCGAAAGAUGGUGAACUAUGCCUGAAUAGGGUGAAGCCAGAGGAAACUCUGGUGGAGGCUCGUAGCGAUUCUGACGUGCAAAUCGAUCGUCAAAUUUGGGUAUAGGGGCGAAAGACUAAUCGAACCAUCUAGUAGCUGGUUCCUGCCAAUU